rnacentral:rRNA from 1 species
UACGAAGGGGGCUAGCGUUGUUCGGAAUCACUGGGCGUAAAGGGCGCGUAGGCGGCCGAUCAAGUCGGGGGUGAAAGCCUGUGGCUCAACCACAGAAUUGCCUUCGAUACUGUUUGGCUUGAGACCGGAAGAGGUUAGUGGAACUGCGAGUGUAGAGGUGAAAUUCGUAGAUAUUCGCAAGAACACCAGUGGCGAAGGCGGCUCACUGGCCCGAUACUGACGCUGAGGCACGAAAGCGUGGGGGAGCAAA